rnacentral:rRNA from 1 species
UACGUAGGGGGCGAGCGUUGUCCGGAUUUAUUGGGCGUAAAGAGCUCGUAGGCGGUUUGGUAAGUCGGGUGUGAAAUCUCCACGCUCAACGUGGAGGGGCCACUCGAUACUGCCAUGACUCGAGUCCGGUAGAGGAGUGUGGAAUUCCCGGUGUAGAGGUGAAAUUCGUAGAUAUCGGGAGGAACACCAGUGGCGAAGGCGGCGACCUGGACGGACAUUGACGCUGAGACGCGAAAGCGUGGGGAGCAAGCAGG